rnacentral:piRNA from 1 species
UCUUACCCUGUUCUUGAUGCUCC